rnacentral:tRNA from 1 species
GUUCCCUUCGUCUAGCCCGGUCUAGGACACUUCCCUUUCACGGAUGUAACGCGGGUUCGAAUCCCGCAGGGAACGCCA